UACGUAGGGUGCAAGCGUUAUUCGGAAUUACUGGGCGUAAAGCGUGCGCAGGCGGUCUUGCAAGACAGAUGUGAAAUCCCCGGGCUUAACCUGGGAACUGCAUUUGUGACUGCAAGGCUGGAGUGCGGCAGAGGGGGAUGGAAUUCCGCGUGUAGCAGUGAAAUGCGUAGAUAUGCGGAGGAACACCGAUGGCGAAGGCAAUCCCCUGGGCCUGCACUGACGCUCAUGCACGAAAGCGUGGGGAGCAAACAGG
rnacentral:rRNA from 1 species